GAUGAACGCUGGCGGCGUGCCUAAUACAUGCCAGUCGAGCGAACGGACGAGAAGCUUGCUUUUCUGAUGUUAGCGGCGGACGGGUGAGUAACACGUGGAUAACCUACCUAUAAGACUGGGAUAACUUCGGGAAACCGGAGCUAAUACCGGAUAAUAUUUUGAACCGCAUGGUUCAAAAGUGAAAGACGGUCUUGCUGUCACUUAUAGAUGGAUCCGCGCUGCAUUAGCUAGUUGGUAAGGUAACGGCUUACCAAGGCAACGAUGCAUAGCCGACCUGAGAGGGUGAUCGGCCACACUGGAACUGAGACACGGUCCAGACUCCUACGGGAGGCAGCAGUGGGGAAUCUUCCGCAAUGGGCGAAAGCCUGACGGAGCAACGCCGCGUGAGUGAUGAAGGUCUUCGGAUCGUAAAACUCUGUUAUUAGGGAAGAACAUAUGUGUAAGUAACUGUGCACAUCUUGACGGUACCUAAUCAGAAAGCCACGGCUAACUACGUG
rnacentral:rRNA from 1 species